UCAAAGCAUCACUCUCUUCUCACUCUUCUCCUCCACGGCUCUUCCUCUCCCUCUCAUUUUCACUCUUUCUCUUUCAUGGCCGAAAUCAAACAUAGCACAAACCAAACCAAACAGAGCACAAGAUCGGAACCCCCUCCUCCAUGAUCUCCUCCAAGAUCGGAACCCCUUCUCCUCCAUGAUCUCCUCCAUUAUCGGAACCCAAUCUCCCCCUUCUCCUCCAAGAUCGAAACCCCCCCUCUCUGGUUCACUAUGCCUCCCUCUCAAUCCGCACCUCCGAUCUGUGUACUCUCCAGAAUAAUGAUAAUGUUAAUUCCUCUAAACCAAAAGCUAGGUUUUUUUUUUUGGACAGAAGCUCAUGGAGAGAACAUGAUUGACAAAAAAGAUGUUGAUACAAGAUUGCCAAGGUUGGUUUAUGUGUCUUGGAAGAAGGAGCCUGAUUUUGAGCUAUGAAUUAGACUUUUUAACUUAUAAAUAUUGCAUUUGCAUUGUAACCGUUUAACUUUAAAAUUGUAUUAACUGCUUAAGGUUAUUGCCAUUUGUGUUAGAGUUAUAACCCCUCUUAUUCCUUUUCUU